AAUUUAUCCUUCCCCGUUUUGGCUGGAAAGGGGGGGGGGAGGUGAGAAGCAGCACGCAGGCGGGGUCGCGUCCGUCCCUCCUGGCCGGGCAGAGGAGGAGCGAUCUGGUGUUGCAAUUAAUUCCUCCCUCGCCGGUGCCAGAAUUGCAGCUGCGGAGCGGUUUUUAUGCAGCUCAUAACUCCUUUUAAUGUACAUCUGGCAGAAUCCUCACAUCCUGGGCUCGGCCCAUCUGGGAGACUCUUUUCCUCUCUCGAUCUCCUAUCCAGAGCCUGAAUCCUCAGCGCUGAGCAGGAGGAGCUCCUUCCUCCCGUCUCCUCGCUAGCAUUUAACCUCCCUUCGCCUGGGCUCCUUUUUCCCACAGAACCUCAUUAAAACCCUUUUUUCCCCAAUUUUUGGAGGGGGUUUCGCUCUGAUCAACGCCUCCCAGGGAGAAUCAGCCCUCACUGCUGACUUCAUCCCCUCUUUUCCUCUCCUCAGCAUCCCCCAGUUCGCAUCCUGUGCUGCACAGCAGAACCUCUCCCCCCCUUUCUCCCACCUCUCCCUGCAGCCCCACAGGUGGAAAUCCGACCCAAUCCCUCCCUGCUCCUCAAGGGUUAAAGAGGAAUUUCUCCGGCUUUGUGCCUCGCUUGUUUAAAAAGCAUCUGACUGCUUCGGAUUUGACAUCUCUCCCCUGUGGGUUUGUAGUUUUUUUUUGCAGAGCAGUUUCAUGUGUGCUUUGAACCGUGCCAACAACGCCGUUGCAACACUUGCCGAGGAGUUUUGCUCGCAGGGUGGAUCCCAGCCGGCAGAGCAGCAGCCGGUUGCCGGUUUCCUCCCUCACGUGCAGGGAAAAUUGAAGGUUCCCUCUGCUCCUCUCAGCAAAGCCUCUGCUCCUCGGCCGCCACUUUGUGCUGCUUCUGGCAAAGCCGUCGGAGAGUCGGAUUUUCCUUUUUGCCUGGGCCGAAGCCAAGGAGGGCAUGAGGAGGUAGGGAAGAAAACGGGCUGGGUUUUGGAUAGCGAGCAUCACUGCCUGCUCCCAGCACGCAGGCAGAGGCUCUGCAGCUCCCAUCUGGGUCCCUCAGGCUGGGAGAAGCCGUUUGCUGUGGGCUGGGAGCUGCUGCUGGCUGCCUGCAUGCGAGGAGGGGGGUUUUCCUGCAUUCAGGCCGGAUGUUUUUCCCAAUGCAUGGAGGAAAUGAGGGGCUGGGCUGCCACACCGGGCUCAGAAACGCAGAUCUCUGCCACCUUCAUCAUCCUCUGUGCUUUGUGAGCACCUGUGGGGAGCAGAUGGAGCCUGCUGUGCCUUGGAGGAAUCGUGGCACUGCAAGCAGCCUCAUCUGUGCUCUGUUUCGGGGUGAUUUCCUGCCUGUUUGGUGUCGCCUUGCUGUUCCCCAACCCCCAUAACUCUAACCCCGACCCCAAGCACUUCAACCAUUCCUCCCCGUUCUCUUCCAUGGGCUGCUGAAACGCCACGUGUGCCACAAGCAGAGGCACCCGACCUGCACCGAGGGGACGUCAGCUGAGCCCCCCCACCCAAAAGGUGCCAGCGACCCCCCUGCAGAUGUGAGCAGUGAGUACCUGGCCACGCUGGCAGUGCAGUUGGAGCUCCUCUGCACGACACCCAUUAAAAACUCCCAUUAAGUCA